rnacentral:rRNA from 1 species
AGUGAACGCUGGCGGUAGGCCUAACACAUGCAAGUCGAACGGCAGCACAGUAAGGGCUUGCUCUUACGGGUGGCGAGUGGCGGACGGGUGAGGAAUACAUCGGAAUCUACUUUUUCGUGGGGGAUAACGUAGGGAAACUUACGCUAAUACCGCAUACGACCUACGGGUGAAAGCAGGGGAUCUUCGGACCUUGCGCGAUUGAAUGAGCCGAUGUCGGAUUAGCUAGUUGGCGGGGUAAAGGCCCACCAAGGCGACGAUCCGUAGCUGGUCUGAGAGGAUGAUCAGCCACACUGGAACUGAGACACGGUCCAGACUCCUACGGGAGGCAGCAGUGGGGAAUAUUGGACAAUGGGCGCAAGCCUGAUCCAGCCAUACCGCGUGGGUGAAGAAGGCCUUCGGGUUGUAAAGCCCUUUUGUUGGGAAAGAAAAGCAGCAGGUUAAUACCGCGCUGUUCUGACGGUACCCAAAGAAUAAGCACCGGCUAACUUCGUG